UACGGAGGGUGCGAGCGUUAUCCGGAUUCACUGGGUUUAAAGGGUGCGUAGGUGGGCUUGUAAGUCAGUGGUGAAAUCUCCGUGCUUAACAUGGAAACUGCCAUUGAUACUAUAGGUCUUGAAUUUUCCGGAGGUCAGCGGAAUAUGUCAUGUAGCGGUGAAAUGCUUAGAUAUGACAUAGAACACCAAUUGCGAAGGCAGCUGACUACAGGGAUAUUGACACUGAGGGCACGAAAGCGUGGGGAUCAAACAGG
rnacentral:rRNA from 1 species